GGUUACUGUAUGGUACAGUCAGGGUUGGAUAGGUUACUGUAUGGUACAGUCAGGGUUGGAUAGGUUACUGUAUGGUACAGUCAGGGUUGGAUAGGUUACUGUAUGGUACAGUCAGGGUUGGGUAGGUUACUUUAUGGUACAGUCAGG